rnacentral:rRNA from 1 species
AUUGAACGCUGGCGGCAGGCUUAACACAUGCAAGUCGAGCGGAGAUGAGGUGCUUGCACCUUAUCUUAGCGGCGGACGGGUGAGUAAUGCUUAGGAAUCUGCCUAUUAGUGGGGGACAACAUCUCGAAAGGGAUGCUAAUACCGCAUACGUCCUACGGGAGAAAGCAGGGGAUCUUCGGACCUUGCGCUAAUAGAUGAGCCUAAGUCGGAUUAGCUAGUUGGUGGGGUAAAGGCCUACCAAGGCGACGAUCUGUAGCGGGCCCGAGAGGAUGAUCCGCCACACUGGGACUGAGACACGGCCCAGACUCCUACGGGAGGCAGCAGUGGGGAAUAUUGGACAAUGGGGGGAACCCUGAUCCAUCCAUGCCGCGUGUGUGAAGAAGGCCUUAUGGUUGUAAAGCACUUUAAGCGAGGAGGAGGCUCUUUUGGUUAAUACCCAAGAUGAGUGGACGUUACUCGCAGAAUAAGCACCGGCUAACUCUGUGCCAGCAGCCGCAGUAA